rnacentral:rRNA from 1 species
UGGGAAGUCUUGCGCAAUGGGCGAAAGCCUGACGCAGCAACGCCGCGUGCGGGAUGAAGGCCCUCGGGUUGUAAACCGCUUUCAGUGGGGACGAAUCAAGACGGUACCACAGAAGAAGCCCGGCCAACUACGUGCCAGCAGCCGCGGUAACACGUAGGGGCGAAGCGUUGUCCGGAAUUUAUUGGGCGUAAAUGAGCUCGUAGGUGGUUCGAUAAGUCGGGUGUGAAACCUCCAGGCUCAACCUGGAGACGCCACCCGAUACUGUCGUGACUAGAGUCCAGUAGGGAGCGUGGAAUUCCUGGUGUAGCGGUGAAAUGCGCAGAUAUCAGGAGGAACACCAGCGGCGAAGGCGGCGCUCUGGGCUGGCACUGACACUGAGGAGCGAAAGCGUGGGGAGCGAACA